rnacentral:rRNA from 1 species
UGUAGUUACUACUUUGUAGUUUAAAAUUCUAGAUAGAAUUAUGAUGAUGACAUUAUCUAUCUAUAAGUCUUGACCAAAUUACGUGCCAGCAGUCGCGGUAAUACGUAGAAGACAAGUGUUAUUCAUCUUUAUUGGGUUUAAAGGGUACCAAGACGGUUAAUAAAGCCCAAAAUACAUGAAAACAGGGGACACAUUAACUAGAGUUAUAUGAAAAGAAGCACUAAGGUACUGUUGAGUGUAGAGAUAAAAUUCCGUCAUACCAGAUGAAAGGCACAGAUUUAUGCGAAGGCAUCUUCUUAUGUAAUAACUGACGUUGUAGGACGAAGGCUUUUUAAGUGAACAGGAUUAGAGACCCUAGUAAUCUAAGCAGAAAAUGAUGAAUGUCAUAGGUUUAAUAUAUUAUUGGGUCUAUAAAUGAAAGUGUAAGCAUUCCACCUCAAGAGUAAUUUGGCAACAUUGGAACUGAAAUCAUUAGACCGUUUCUGAAACCAGUAGUGAAGUAUGUUGUUUAAUUAGAUGAUACACAAAAAACCUUACCACAAUUUGAAUAUAUAUCUUUAAAGAUAUUUACAAGCGUUGCACGGCUGUCUUCAGUUAAUGUCGUGAGAUUUUGGUUAGUUCCAUAAAAUUAACGUAAACCCUCGUUUUAUUUAUAAAUAAAAUU